GCUGGAAUUUGGCAGGCCUGCUGCUUGGAGAGGCGCCCCACGCUGUGACUCCCAUUCAGCGGUCCAGCGCGCUGUGAGGUUGGGAAGUUUCACUGAGCCGUGCACUCAAUGGCUCCACAAAGCUGAUUACAAGCCCCAGCGAAUUCCUGAAGGGACCGGGCAGCCACGCAGGUGGGGGAGGAAGCUAUUGUUUUCGAACAUCCUGGUCCUGCUCCUCAUUUAUUAAUCACUAAUUCCAACUUGGCAGAAAGUAUAGACCAAAGUAAGUCUUUCUUUUUUAUUCCCAUAUCUUGUAUCACUUUGAAGGGGUUUAUUUUGCAGUAUGAACUGCACAUUAUCCAGUGUAUGAUGUGGCUGUUCACCAAAUAAAUAUAUAAAAUAUUGAUUUGACUGGAAACUA
ensembl:lncRNA